AACUUCGCACUGUGCGAAAGCACGACGAGGGAAUCCCAAGUGCUGGCUCGUAAGAGUCAGCUGUUUCUUUGUCUAAAAAACAGAGAGAGUAAGGGCUGGGUAAGACGGGUGCCAGCCGCCGCGGUAAUACCUGCAGCCCAAGUGGUGGCCGCUAUUAUUGGGCCUAAAAC
rnacentral:rRNA from 1 species